rnacentral:lncRNA from 10 species
CGAGUUCAGAAGCUUGUUCUUAAGUAGUUGGAAGCCCUCCCUAGGGGAGUAGAUGUUCAGAAGAAGAUAUGCAGACUCAGGUCACAUGAAAUGAAUAAGCCAUUUCUUUCACAUAGGAAAACAGAAAUCAGGUUUGAUUUGGUAUAUUCAGGAAAAACUCUAGUUCUUUCAAGGCAGCAACUGACACAACUUUUGGAAAAACAAGAGCUGAUUUCUGAGCAAUCUAGGCCAGCCCUGGCAAGGCUGACCUAUGAGAACUCCAACUGAGCACUGUGAGCUGAGAGCCUUCUGCAGCCCAUGGGCGCCAGGCAGCUGCUUUUCCUACAUUGCUUCUCCCACCCACCCUGAGAGGUGGCUUGCCAUUAGACUUGCAGUGCCUAAUUAAGGCCUUCAGGAGCAGAGAUGGAAUGUACUAGACUGUGAGUUCAGGUUUUUCUGACUCUAGAGCCUGUGCUGGAGAGAACUGUAACCUAACAGGCUAUAUAGUCCAGAGGGGGACACGUGGACUCUGACAUCACAACUUUCUGUGAACCAUGCCCUCUACAGACGUGCUCUGCUAUGAAUGAAGCCUUUCUUCUCUACCCAUGAAUUCUACAGCAUUGUGAACAUACCUCUAUUAUAACAUGACUGAAUAAUGUCUCAUUUUUUACGUGAACUGAUUUUUUUAUAAGAUUAUGAACUUCUUGAAUGGAAGAACCAUGUCUCAUUGUUCCCUAUACCUUCACUGCCUAGCCCAGUGCCUGAGAGACAGCGACUUUCCACCAAGAACACCAUUGUGUAGAGGCACCUACUGUGCCAGGCACUGUUGGAGGCACUGGGGAUGAAUCAGCAAGCAAGACAGAAGGUCCCUGCACUCACAUAACUUACUGCUCAGGAAUCGCCACUGGACUCAGCCUGCACAGCACAGCAAGACCCUGGCUCUUAAGAAAAAAAAAGAAUGAUGGGGAUGCAUCCCAGGACAAACAGCAGUUUUGGAGGGGGUCACUGAUUGUACCAAGGGUCCCCAAGGCCACCUGCAUACAAUCCCACUCACAGGUAUGGUUUAUUACAGCAAAAAGACACAAAGCAAAGUCAGAAAAGGGAAGAAUGGAGUAAAGCCCAAGGAAAACCAGGCACAUGCUUCCAGACUCCAGCGGAGUCACAAAAGAUGUGCUUAAUUCCCCCAGAGAGGGGUUGUGACAACUCAUGUGAAAUGUAUUCUACUAGGGAAGCUCAUUAGGGACUCAGUGUCCAGGGUUUUUAUUCGAGGCUGAUCACAUAGGCACCCUGUGCCUGGCAUGUACCAAAAUUUCAUACUCCAAGAAAAACAGCAGGUAAUCAGCAUAAACUAUACUACAUGUAAAAAACAGUUCAGGCACAGGGAGCCACUCUUAGCAGUUUUAAGAAGAUGGGAAUCCUGAAAUCCAAGUUUCCAGACACCAGCCCAGGAUCAAUCUUGUAAGCAAGCUUUUCUAAGGAUAGCAGCCUUCGGUUUGAUAUGCUAACUCUUCUCUGCACAAUGGAAAGCAUAUUAUACCCCAAACUCUGCAUCAGCAUCUGUCUCCAGAAAAGCCAACCUGUGACAAUUAGUUUAAUUCAAAAUGGCUCCAGACCAUGGGAUACCGAAUGUAUUAUUUAGGAGCUAGAAGACAACUAGCCUAUUCCUCAUUCUUGCAGCCACAGUGCAGAUUGUAGUCAAGGUUACAUUUUUUCUGACAGACCAAUGAGGCCACCCUGACCUUCUAGACUGUCAAAGCUAAGUUAGGUCAAAAACAGGAGCUUCAGUUCAAAUGCUUAUUGAAACCUGAAUCAAAGUGUGAUGCCACUUAUAACUCAUCUUUGAUAAAUCAGCCUCUGUCCACAAAGGCUGUUAUCAGAGACUGUCAGAGAACCAAUUCUGUUUUCUUGCUCUAACAUCCUCUUGAUCCUAAAUCUUGAAUUUUGAUUAACACUAAAAUGAAAUCCAAGUACUCCAUUUGUUCUGGACAUGUCCCUCUGCUCCCUGAGCCCUGAGUGUGUACCUACUAGACAAGAAAAAAAUCGAUAAGCUGAAUAAACGUAAAUAGCAUUGCAUGGAGGUUAUGUCAAAAUAUUGAUGGAAAGGAAACUAAAAAAAAUCUGUCUGUAAAACAACACAGUAGCUAAAGAUCAGCAAUCUGUUUUCAAGAUUUUUAAUCCCCUUUAUCUUCAAAGAAGGCAACAACUUGUUUUUUCAUCUUCGAGAAGAGGGAAUGAGAGGUAAAGGGGAUUAACAAUUUUGAUCACCAACAAAACGCCAAUCUCUGGGCUAGGUAAAUGUAGUGAGUUGAGUUGAGUUGUGCCCUCCAAAAAGACAUGUUGAAGUCCUAACCCCAAUACCUAUGAAUGUGACUUUAUUUAGAAAUUGUCUUUGCAGAUGUAGACAAGUUAAGAUGAGGUCAUACUGGGUCACAGUGAGUCCUAAAUCCAAUGAUCGUGUCUUCAUGAGGAGAGGGAGAUUUGUAGACACACACAGAAAAGAUGGCCAUGUGAAGAUGGAGGCAGAUACUGAGUGAUGCAGCUAUAAGCCAAGGAUUUCAAGGAAUGCUAAGGAUUUCUGAGCCACCAGAAGCUAAGAAGAGGCAAAGGAAGAUGCUUCUCCAGGGUCUUUAUAAACAGCAUGGCCCUGCCUGCCUACACCUUAAUUUCAGACUUCCAGCCUGCAGAACUGUGAGAAAAUUAAAUUGUUGUAUUAAGGUACCAAGCUUGUGGAGAUUUGUUAUGGCAGCCUGAGGACACUAACACAAUGCUUCAUAUACUUUAUUUCAUUCAAUCUUCUGUAAUCCUGUGGAACACGUAUCAUCCCUGUUCUACUGAUAGACAAAUGGAGAUGCAAAGAGAUUAAAAAAUUAAUUGAUGUCCACAGCUAAAACAAAAUUAGCUCUGCUGGACUCCAAUGUCUACGUUUGUCCCACUAGAGCUGGACACUACUUACUGUCCAGGGGGCUGUAUGUUUUUCUAAAAUGUUUUUAGUCCUAAUCUCCCACACCAUGGUAGAAGUUAGUUGUAUGACUGACAUUACAUAUGGGCAGCAUCACUCUACCGUAAAAGCCAGGAAAAGAACUCUCUCGUAUGUUCCUUCUCCCCUUCUGUCUCCCUGCCUCCCUCCCUCCUGCUUCAUGAAGUGGAAGUGGACAGGUGAGUCAGGCUACCUCAAAUCUCUUCCUCUUUCCACUUCCACCUUCUAAAUCCACAUCUUGAGAUCUUACUUUCCUUUGGCCACAAGGGCAUUGCCAAGAGAAACUGAAGAGUAGAGGUACUGUGGGCAGUUUAGUGGAGCAGGGUCUAGAUCAAUGCUUAAAGUAGCAACACAGUUGUGGGAAUGGAAGCCUGGACCUAGGAAGAGGGAAAAACCAGGGCCAGUUCUGCAGAUCCCAUCACCUGUCACC